GACGAACGCUGGCGGCGUGCCUAAUACAUGCAAGUAGAACGCUGAAGGAGGAGCUUGCUUCUCCGGAUGAGUUGCGAACGGGUGAGUAACGCGUAGGUAACCUGCCUGGUAGCGGGGGAUAACUAUUGGAAACGAUAGCUAAUACCGCAUAAGAGUAGAUGUCGCAUGACAUUUGCUUAAAAGGUGCAACUGCACCACUACCAGAUGGACCUGCGUUGUAUUAGCUAGUUGGUGAGGUAACGGCUCACCAAGGCAACGAUACAUAGCCGACCGGAGAGGGGGGUCGGCCACCCUGGGACUGUGACACGGCCCAGACGCCUACGGGAGGCGGCAGUAGUGCAUCUUCGGCAAUGGGCGGAAGUCUGUCCGAGCUACGCCGCGUGAGGGUAGAGGGUUUUCGGAUCGUAAAGCUCUGUUGUAAGAUAAGAACGAGUGUGAGAGUGGAAAGUUCACUCUGUGACGGUAUCUUACCAGAAAGGGACGGCUAACUACGUG
rnacentral:rRNA from 1 species